rnacentral:lncRNA from 1 species
CCAAGUUGGUGUUUGUAUUUUUAAGUCUUUGUUUCUUUGGCAUUCUUGAAAUAUGAAAAUACUCAAAAAAUUAGGAGUUGGGAUAUAAACCUCUUUCCUCUUUCUUGCUUGUUUCCAAACUGUCAGGCUCAGAAUCAAGAACCUCGCUGGAGGUGCAGGCUCUUUGAGCAGAGAUGUGCCAUGCAGAGGGGUGUGAAGGUGUAAUCAUCCCCUGUGACAGUGUGCUGAAGCCCUGUGCCAACCUGGCUGCAUGGGACAAGGGCAAAUAGCUACCACAUGUGAUUUGCAUCUGCAAGUGCUGCAGGGCUGCCCUGGCUGUCACAGCAGAGGAUAAGACUCCAGUGGUCGCCAGCAGGACACCUGGGAAGGUUCUCACUUCAUGCAGUUCUGCUGUCCUCUCCAUGGACCAAAGAGCAGCAUGACACCAUCAUACACAAGGUGGGAGCUCUGCAUCCUGUGAAACCAGCUGGAACAUCGUGCCUGUGAGCAAGUGAACCAAGCACAGAGAGAAGAGGAUUUUCAGACAUAUUUUUCCUCCCUUUUUCUGUAGAAAUGAAGACAGACAUUGACUAACAUUUGUUCAAGGCCAUCUAUGUGAAACGUAUCCAAAACAUCUUUGCAAAGCAAAGGUAAGAACAAACUUCUAUAAACAAUACCAUGAGUACAAAUUGUGCCCUUCUUUCAAUUACAUUCAUU